AAAUCCCACCUCUCCUUCUGGCUACAGAGCACUUACUUCAGGAGCCCAUGAAAUCAAAUGCAGAUGCCCCUGACAUGUUCAUGAUGUCAAAGACUCCAUCUCAUGUUCCCCUCUCACAUGCUCCUAAACCUGUGGAAUCAAAUGCAGAUGUCCUUGAUGUGCCGAAGGCUCCAUCCAAUGCUUCUCUGUCUGCUAAAGUGGAGUUAGCACAUGGCACGGGCAUAAAAAUCCUAAAGCAUCAAUGGACUUCUGCCCUGCAGGCCCAAACAGCCACUUCAAUGGUGCGUGUUCUUUUAAUGGCCGCCUUCCCACUAGAAGUUCUGAUCCACAGCAAUUUGAAAGGGGGAAAGAGUAAAACUGAUGGUAGUGCAGAGAGAAGACAUGCCCUUGACAAGGAAACCAUGGGAGCCAUAUUUGUGGCAGUCAAGAAGAGGUUUCCCAAUGUGUCCAGAGGAGCUUUGGGUAUUGCAGUGAAUUCCAAGCUGGGGGAACUGAGACUGCUUGAAAAAAAAAGGAGCUAAUUUUGUUAUUGUUUUUUUGUUGUUAUUCUUUAAUUUAUAGCAUGUUCCUUACUUGAUUUUUAUUCAGGUGUGUUAUAUGUUCACAUUUUAGACAGAAAAUAAAGAUUUUAUUCAA
ensembl:lncRNA